CGGGAAGUAGCUCAGCUUGGUAGAGCACCACGUUCGGGACGUGGGGGUCGCAAGUUCAAAUCUUGUCUUCCCGA
rfam:Lactobacillus brevis ATCC 367, complete genome.